GGUUGGACAGGAAACUGCUUCAAGAUUUUAAGCUUAUUGGGUGGGGAGCU
rnacentral:ncRNA from 1 species